rnacentral:tRNA from 1 species
GCGGGAGUAACUCAGUGGUAGAGUGCAACCUUGCCAAGGUUGAAGUCGAGGGUUCGACCCCCUUCUCCCGCUCCA